rnacentral:tRNA from 1 species
AUCUUUUUGGUGUAAUGCACGGGAGUUUUUGAUUCUCCAGGAGGGUUAGACCCAGAAGAUU